AGCAAACGCAUUAAGUAUCCCGCCUGGGGGAGUACGGCCGCAAGGUUGAAACUCAAAUGAAUUGACGGGGACCCGCACAAGCGGUGGAGCAUGUGGAUUAAUUCGAUACUAACCGAAGAACCUUACCCACUCUUGACAUCGAUGGAAAGCUCUAGAGAUAGGGCCCUCUCCCACAAGGAGACCAGAAGACAGAUGUUGCAUGGCUGUCGUCAGCUCGUGCCGUGAGGUGUACGGUUAAGUCCGCCAACGAGCGCAACCCUCGUCUUGUGUUACCAGCGAGUAAAGUCGGGCACUCACAAGAGACCGCCGGUGUAAGCCGGAGGAAGGUGGGGAUGAUGUCAAGUCAGCAUGGCUCUUACGAGUGGGGCUUCACACAUGCUACAAUGGGCGAAACAAAGGGCAGCGAUACCGCGAGGUGGAGCAAAUCCCAAAAAUACGUCCUCAGUUCAGAUUGCAGUCUGCAACUCGACUGCAUGAAGGCGGAAUCGCUAGUAAACGCAGGUCAGCUAUACUGCGUUGAAUACGUUCCCGGGUCUUGUACACACCGCCCGUCAAGUCACUUGAAUUGUCUUCACCCGAAGUCCGUGGCCCAACCCGCAAGGGAGGGAGCGGCCGAAGGUGAGGGGGGUAAGAGGGACUAAGUCGUAACAAGGUAACCAAGGG
rnacentral:rRNA from 1 species